AUUGAACGCUGGCGGCAUGCCUUACACAUGCAAGUCGAACGGCAGCAUGAUCUAGCUUGCUAGAUUGAUGGCGAGUGGCGAACGGGUGAGUAAUACAUCGGAACGUGCCCUGUAGUGGGGGAUAACUAGUCGAAAGAUUAGCUAAUACCGCAUACGACCUGAGGGUGAAAGUGGGGGACCGCAAGGCCUCAUGCUAUAGGAGCGGCCGAUGUCUGAUUAGCUAGUUGGUGAGGUAAAGGCUCACCAAGGCGACGAUCAGUAGCUGGUCUGAGAGGACGAUCGCCCCACCGGGGCCUGGGACCCGGCCCCACCCCCUCGGGGGGGACGCGGGGGGGAUUUUGGGCAAUGGGGCGAAAGCCUGCUCCACCAAUGCCGCUGUUGGGAAAAAGGCCUUCGGGUUUUAAAGCCCUUUUGUCCGGAAAAAAAUGGCUCUGGUUAAUCCCUGGGGUCGUGGCCGGGACCGGAAGAAAAAGGCCCGGCUAACUCCGU
rnacentral:rRNA from 1 species